rfam:Pan troglodytes isolate Yerkes chimp pedigree #C0471 (Clint) chromosome 4, whole genome shotgun sequence.
GGGAAAUGGGAAGAGGGGCCAGUCCCAGGCCCCACAACAAAGUGGGGCA